rnacentral:tRNA from 1 species
CAAAAUAUAGCUUAAUCUAUUAAAGCACUCAGCUUACACCUGAAAGACGUCCGUUAAAACGACUAUUUUGA